rnacentral:rRNA from 1 species
GUGCCUAAUACAUGCAAGCCCGAGCGAAUGAAAUUAAGAGCUUGCUCUUAUUCCCGUUAGCGGAGGACGGGUGAGUAACACGUGGGUAACCUGCCCAUAAGACUGGGAUAAUUCCGGGAAACCGGGGCUAAUACCGGAUAACAUUUUGCACCGCAUGGUGCGAAAUUCAAAGGCGGCUUCGGCUGUCACUUAUGGAUGGACCCGCGUCGCAUUAGCUAGUUGGUGAGGUAACGGCUCACCAAGGCAACGAUGCGUAGCCGACCUGAGAGGGUGAUCGGCCACACUGGGACUGAGACACGGCCCAGACUCCUACGGGAGGCAGCAGUAGGGAAUCUUCCGCAAUGGACGAAAGUCUGACGGAGCAACGCCGCGUGAGUGAUGAAGGCUUUCGGGUCGUAAAACUCUGUUGUUAGGGAAGAACAAGUGCUAGUUGAAUAAGCUGGCACCUUGACGGUACCUAACCAGAAAGCCACGGCUAACUACGUGCCAGCAGCCGCGGGAAUACGUAGGUGGCCAGCGUUAUCCGGAAUUAUUGGGCGUAAAGCGCGCGCAGGUGGUUUCUUAAGUCUGAUGUGCAAGCCCCCGGCCUCACCGUGGAGGGUCAUUGGAAACUGGGAGACUUGAGUGCAUAAGAGGAAAGUGGAAUUCCAUGGUGUAGCGGGCGAAAUGCGUAGAGAUAUGGAGGGAACACCAGUGGCGAAGCGACUUUCUGGUCUGUAACUGAAACUGAGGC